CUGGUUCACAUCAUAAUGGUUCUUUUGCCAACAGGAGCUGGUAAUCAGGAUGGCAGUGAGGCAGGCACUUGCUUGCAGAAGAACAGGCCUAGUUUUUUAAGAAGCCACAAAAGUGUCUUUGGAUGAUUAGGAUCUAAGGGGCCAACAGCUUUGCAAUAACAGCAUAAAUAUUGUGGGCUGGAUGGACAGGCACCAAAUGGGGACAUUCCAUCCUGCUGUGUGAUGAGAAAGCUGCCACUUUUGAGGCCUUCCAAAACAAAUCAACACUCCAUAUGCCAGAAGGAAAAGCCCAGGAAAGACCUAUUCCAACUGGAGAUGGUGAAUGUCAUUUCUUCAAGAAGCUGAGAUCCAGCUGGUACUGCCAGGUGGAGAGUGAGUUGGGUAGCUGACCUCGGGCAUGGCAGCCUUGGUUUUUGGCCACUUCAUGGGGUGACCUGUUGAGCAAACAGCAGUGGAAUUCUGCAGCUGUGGACCAAGAUGAAUACGAAGGGAGAAUGAAACAAAACUGCUCCGCUUAGGGAACUUGGAAAGGAAAUUGAAAAGGCAAGGCACAGGCUGGAAGAAAAUAUUUGAAAAAGAUUUAUGUGAACUUCUUUCUGGAUUAUACAAAAUAUUUUUAGAUAUUCUUACAACUCUAAAAUAAGAUAACUCCUUAAAAAUCUAAAUUCUACCAAAGGAGAGAUAAAGAUGACGAAUACAUUCAAAGAUGCUGAAAAUCACUUAUUUAUUAUUAGGAAGUUACAAGCUAAAGCAUAAUGAGAUACCACUACAACCUACUAAACUGACUAAAAUUAAUCAGACUAACCAGGUGUUGGCAAGAAACAGGGACACUGAGACUCUCACACUGCUGGAAGGAAUGUAAAAUGCUAAAACUUCUUUGGAAAUGAGUUCAGUAACUUUUUAAACAGUUGAAAAUAGACCUAUCAUGCAAACCAGCAAUCCCACUUCCAGGUAUUUAUACAAGGAAAAUGACAACAUAUGCCCACAUAAAGACUUGUGCACAAAUGACCGUAGCAGCUUUGUGAUAAUUGCUAAAAACUAGAAACUUGUCAAGUGUCCAACAGCUAAGGAAAUAGAGACAAACUACAUAAGUUGCUGAAAAAUCACAGCAAAUAAUUAGCUGAGGAAGAGACUCAAAUCUAUCAGAACUGCUUGACUUUUGAUCCUGAGCUUAUGCGCAUCCAGUGGGCAAGUGAGGGUGCAUGGGUUUGUGAAGACUCCAGCAGUAUGAUUGGGGUUGACAUGCAGGCUGGACAUACAGUGGGCCUCGAUUGCUUAGAAGCCAAACUGAACUCACCAAGAAAAGAAGACAGGAGAAACUUCUCAAGAGGAAUAUCUCCAAAUUGCAGGAUCGAAUACCAUAAGAGGAAUUCUGGACUGAAGAGUUAUGAAGUCAUUUCAGACACUUCCAGACAAUUUGUGUUAAUUAAAUUCUCACUGGUUGAGUUCCAUUCUACACUGGAAGAGCAUUUUUCCUGGAAAGGCUCCUCAAAAUGGACACCAUCAAGAGUCACCUCCUCAGUGAAGCCUUCCAUGGUUUCAUACCACCCAUCCCUAUCGGAAUGAAUGUAUCCUUGUUCUCCGUUAUCCCAGUAUUUUGCCUGGGCUUCUGUCACACUACUUUCAAUGUCUAUACCUCAGUUAUCGAAUCGAAAAACAAGAGUCAUCAGUCUCUAAGGUCCUUGCAAGCUUCAAAACUUUAUAUUUUUGUCAAUUACAACUGAAUAAAGCUGAACAACUUAUUAUUUAUGGAUACUUGCUCAAGCACCAUAUAACUCUUUCAGAUAUUUUAAAAGAAUAUGUUUGCAAAAGACUCCAAAUCAAUGUAUUAAAUUGAAAUCCAGUAUCAAAACACCCAUUAAAGUGCUCUUUUGAAAUUGUACAUUUUAUAUCAAUAAAAUUUCAAAAUAUAAAAACCUCUAUUUUACUUGUUGAAUUCUUAGGAAUAAUAACUAAACAGUUUUAAAAUAUUAGUAGAAAGAUGGUGUCUUUGAAAUAAGAAGAAUGGAGUUGGAGCAUAAGUUGCUUCUAGUUGAAUGACCUGGGCAUGAUUUAUCAUGUCUUUGCACCUCAGUUUCCCUAUCUGUAAAAUGGCAGUAAUGCUGACUUUACUUCACUAAGCUGUUGAGUAGAUUAAAUUAGACUGUGCACAUGAAAGCAGUUUAUAAAUAACAAAAUACAGUGUUUGUAUUAGUUAGAGUAAUCAAAAGCCCCAAGUGAGUCUCUCCCUAUCCUAGGG
rnacentral:lncRNA from 1 species